AACGAACGCUGGCGGCAGGCUUAACACAUGCAAGUCGAACGCCCCGCAAGGGGAGUGGCAGACGGGUGAGUAACGCGUGGGAAUCUACCUAGUUCUACGGAACAACAGAGGGAAACUUCUGCUAAUACCGUAUACGCCCUAAGGGGGAAAGAUUUAUCGGAAUUAGAUGAGCCCGCGUAAGAUUAGCUAGUUGGUGGGGUAAUGGCCUACCAAGGCGACGAUCUUUAGCUGGUCUGAGAGGAUGAUCAGCCACACUGGGACUGAGACACGGCCCAGACUCCUACGGGAGGCAGCAGUGGGGAAUAUUGGACAAUGGGCGCAAGCCUGAUCCAGCCAUGCCGCGUGAGUGAUGAAGGCCUUAGGGUUGUGAAGCUCUUUCAGUGGGGACGAUAAUGACGGUACCCACAGAAGAGGCCCCGGCUAACUUCGUGCCAGCCGCCGCAGUAAGAC
rnacentral:rRNA from 1 species